rnacentral:tRNA from 1 species
GAGAGAGGACUGAAAACUGAUGGAGACUGCUAACUACCAUCACCCCGGCUAAAUUCCAGGGCUCACUCG